rnacentral:rRNA from 1 species
AACCAACAGGGGAUUGCCUUAGUAACGGCGAGUGAAGCGGCAACAGCUCAAAUUUGAAAUCUGGCCCUCGGGUCCGAAUUGUAAUUUGUAGAGGAUGCUUUUGGUGCGGUGCCUUCUGAGUUCCUUGGAACAGGACGCCUUAGAGGGUGAGAGCCCCGUACAGUUGGACACCAAGCCUUUGUAAAGCUCCUUCGACGAGUCGAGUAGUUUGGGAAUGCUGCUCUAAAUGGGAGGUAAAUUUCUUCUAAAGCUAAAUAUUGGCCAGAGACCGAUAGCGCACAAGUAGAGUGAUCGAAAGAUGAAAAGUACUUUGAAAAGAGGGUUAAAUAGCACGUGAAAUUGUUGAAAGGGAAGCGUUUAUGACCAGACCUUCGUCGGGCGGAUCAUCCGGUGUUCUUCACCGGUGCACUUCGCCCGGCUUAGGCCAGCAUCGGUUUUCGUAGGGGGAUAAAGGCCUAGGGAAUGUGGCUCCCUCCGGGGAGUGUUAUAGCCCUGGGCGUAAUACCUUUAUGGGGACCGAGGUUCGCGCUCCGGCAAGGAUGCUGGCGUAAUGGUCAUCAACGACCCGUCUUGAAACACGGACCAAGGAGUCGAACAUUUAUGCGAGUGUUUGGGUGUUAAACCCUUGCGCGUAAUGAAAGUGAACGUAGGUGAGAGCCCGUACGGGUGCAUCAUCGACCGAUCUUGAUGUUUUCGGAUGGAUUUGAGUAAGAGCAUAACUGUUCGGACCCGAAAGAUGGUGAACUAUGCGUGGAUAGGGUGAAGCCAGAGGAAACUCUGGUGGAGGCUCGCAGCGGUUCUGACGUGCAAAUCGAUCGUCAAAUCUGCGCAUGGGGGCGAAAGACUUAUCGAACCAUCUAGUAGCUGGUUACCGCCGAAGUUUCCCUCAGGAUAGCAGUGUUGUAUUCAGUUUUAUGAGGUAAAGCGAAUGAUUAGGGACUCGGGGGCGAUUUUUAGCCUUCAUCCAUUCUCAACUUUAAUAUGUAAGAAGCCCUUGUUACUUAGUUGAACGUGGGCAUACGAAUGGAUCAACACUAUUGGGCCUUUUUGGUAAACAGACUGGCGAUGGGGGAUGAACCGAACCCGGGGUUAAGGUGCCAGAUAAACCCUCAUCAGAACCCCCAAAGGGGUAUUACUUUUGAAACAGAACGGGGC